rnacentral:lncRNA from 13 species
UGUCUAGUUUCUGUUGAAAUGGAAAAGAAUUGCUCUCUCCUUGGAGGGUGAGAAGGAUGGAGUCUAGGGAAAAGGGAUGUCUGAGCUCCAGGUAGCCAUUUGUGUGUUUUAGUUACAGAGUGAAUGGAAAUGAAAUGGUUUGCACUUUACAAAGCACUUCUAAGUAUCCAUCCCUCCAUCCAUCCAUGCACACAUCCAUUGUUUAUAAAUUCAGCAUAUUCCAGGGUCCAUUCUAGGCCAUGAGAAUGCAGAGGUGCAAAGAGGAAAAUCUCAGUCUAUUUGGUGGUGCAGGCAACACAAGAGGUCAUUACAAUGCGGUGUGCCAAGAACCGUCGAGGCCAUUGACAGCUGUGAAGAGGCCUUUAGUGGGAUAUUAGGGAGCACAGAAGGACUAAGUCAGGAAACACAGAGUGCAGACAAUUAGUCUGGAUUUUGCAGAACAUGUAGGAGUUUGCUAUGCGGAGAAGAGGAACAGAGCAUUUUAGACACGCGCAACGGCCUGGGGUUAUAUACAGAAAGGUGCUCAUCUCUGGAGGUUGAGAUUUUGUCCAAUCUGUGGGUAAUUGAAGCCAAGUGGCAUUCGAUUAGGCAAAAUAAGCCCAGAUAAAGUAAGGAAGAAGGAGAAGAAACUCACUCGACCCCCCUUCCUGUGCCUUUGCUGGGUUUCAUUAUUUUGUUGUCAGAGGGAAUGGGUUUGGAAAGUGUGUAACGGAAGAAGAAAAUGAAUAACACUUUGAGACAGUGAUUCUCUACACAGGGAUGCACUUCAGAAUCUCUUUGGGAAGUUUUGAAAUUUACAUGGCCAGGCCUGAUAUCUGACUCAGAGGCCCAGGGUGGAGCCAGCACUGACCUGCUCUACAGAGCGUCUCAUGGAGUCCUUGAUUGGGAACACCUGUCACGUAUGCUGCCUCUUCUGGGACCAUCUGCCUAUCUGAAGAAAGGGCACAGGUGCUAUACAACCAUCUCUGGAGAUAGUGCCUGUGGAAUUUUAAGCUUUAUUCUGCUAGCUGGCCUGAGUCAAAGCGGGUAAAGAGGCCAAGAAUUCCCAAGCUUUCCCAGGCAAGCGGGGAAGAACACUGGGACGCCUUUUCCUCCUCCUCUGUCCAUCUUCAGGCCAAGUGUGCAUCGGUCACAGGGAAACUCUGAAUCGAGCUUUGUGCAAGCCCCUGGAAAGAGACCCAAGAUCGUGUGAUGAGCAACAGUGACAGUGCUGGUGGCAGUGCCAUCUGCAGAACCAGCCCCAUCCCUAUCUGCAACAGAAUAUGCAGGGGCAUCCUUUAUGCAAACAAUCCCCCCGGGGUAGAAUGGGGCUUUUGACAUCAGCUGAGACCCAGGCUGCCUUACAAUGAGAGGCCUGUUGGUCAAAGGAAGGACUGUUUAAUGAACUGAGAACCUGAGGCCAGCUCUGGCCAUCUGCACUUAGAAUCAUAGAGCAACGUGACUGUAACUGGCAACAUUGAAUAAUGCAACAAAUUCAUAUUUCAAAAUUGUGAACUUUAAAAUUUCGUGUUUGUGUCUGUGAUGAAAAACAAAUAUACAUUUGAUACUACCAUUUGAUCAGUAAAGAAGCCUGAAAAAUAUCUGUCUUUGACUCGAAGGUCAAUAAUGAUGAUGGUUUUUCCCCUGCACUGGGAUAGAAAUGUUCUGU